CCAAUACCAGCAGCAGCCAGGUUGGAUUUAUCCGACUGGUUUACUGUUGGCUACAGCGGGGGAGGCGUAUAUCACAGCACGCCUCGUGCCCGGUCCCGCUGGUUCAUGGUUUGCCUACUCCUACUUUCAGUAGGGGUAGGCAUCUACCUCCUUCCCAACCGAUGA
rfam:Hepacivirus hominis isolate P37_Baseline_Cameroon polyprotein (POLY) gene, complete cds; and protein F-like (POLY) gene, complete sequence